rnacentral:lncRNA from 1 species
GUGGAAUCAUGUCAUCUCUUUUCCACAAGAUACGUGCGAUGAAUAUGAUAGCUGUGGCCACAACUGUAUCUGCAGAUCUGACAGGCCAAUUAGAUGCCAAUGUUUAAAGGGAUUGCUCCCAAGCUCCAAAGGAUGGGAUCUUCACGAUUGGUCGGGUGGAUGUAUUAGAACUAAACCGUUGAAUUGUGAGGGCGGAGAUGGAUUUCAAGAGAUUAGAGGGGUGAAGUAUCCUGAUACCUUGAGAUGUCUGUUAAAUACAAGCAUGAGCCUCGCUGAGUGCAAAUCUGAGUGCCUUAAAAACUGUAGUUGCACCGCUUAUGCUAAUUCGUUCAUCACCAAUGGGGGCAAUGGCUGCUUGAUGUGGUUUGGUGAUCUCAUGGAUACCAAAGGACUCUCUGAAGCAGAUAGUAAGCAGAAGAUCUAUAUCCGUGUGCCACUUUCUGAACUAGGUUAGUAGUUUCAUAACUAGUAACUACCAUUUACGCUAUCUAGAUCUGCAUAUCUCAGCUCCAAACUUAAGAUGGAUACUUGCACUACGUGCAUGUUGUGACCUAAUUGUUUCGUAAAAGUAUGAAUCAUUAAACAUAGAAGCUGUUCGAAUUUGCCUGUAGAUUCUAGCAGAGGUUUAGAGGAGGAGGAGAAUAAAAGGCCUACUAAAUUCAUACUGGUAUCAAUUGCUUCUGGUGUUCUCGUCUCAGCCAUUAUCAAUGGAGCUGUACUUUUUAUGUCAAGACGAAAGGGGCAAGGUAACAAUUGAACUUCUGUAGUUGACUGCUCUAAGAAAGAGAGUUUAUUCAUAUUCAAAGCAUAAACUCAAGCUAACGCUGAAGCAUUUAUUCUUUUUUGCUCUCACUUUUUAGCAGUAAAAUGGAAUCAUGAGGAUUUAGAAUUAACUAUGAUCAACAUGGCAACUAUUGUGCAAGCCACAAAUAAUUUCUCAACGGAAAACAAGAUUGGAGUCGGAGGCUUCGGUACAGUUUACAAGGUAACGUUCUAAGUGAGAGUGCUGAAGUUGGAUUAAAAGUAUACUCGUAUUCUAACUUGCAUAAGCAGGGGAACAUGCCAUCAGGAGAAGAAAUCGCUGUCAAAAGAUUAUCGAAAUCUUCACAACAGGGUCUGGAAGAGUUCAGAAAUGAAGUUAUGGUGAUUGCAAAACUUCAACACAGAAAUCUCGUAAGACUAUUGGGAUGUUGCAUUGAAGAAGAAGAAAGGAUGCUAAUCUAUGAAUACCUGCAGAAUAAAAGCCUUGACCUCUUUGUUUUUGGUACACUCUGAUUAGCUUGUCAUAUCCCAUACUUGUUAAUCCUGCAAAAACCAAUAAAUUUAACAUGAUGUUCAAUCAUUUGCAGAUCACAGUGAGAAAACACUACUGACAUGGCCUAAGCGUUUUAAGAUUAUCAUGGGAAUUGCAAGGGGACUGCUAUAUCUCCAUCACGAUUCCAGAUUAAAGAUUAUUCAUAGGGAUCUCAAAACGAGUAAUAUUUUACUAGACGGACAUUUAAAUCCAAAAAUAUCAGAUUUCGGCUUAGCAAGAAUAUUUGAAGAGGAUCAAUCUCUUGCCAGAACAAAAAGAGUUGUUGGGACAUAGUAAGUUUUCUUCAUAUCAUCAAAUUCCUUCAUUCAUUUUCUAUGGUGGCAUUAAGAUGAAUACAUUUAUGCAGUGGAUAUAUGGCUCCGGAAUAUGCAAUUGAUGGGAAAUUCUCGGUGAAAUCUGACAUCUUUAGUCUUGGAGUGGUUUUGUUGGAGAUUAUCAGUGGGAAAAAGAACAGAGGAUAUGGAGACUCCGACCACUAUCUUAACCUCUUGGGCCAUGUAUACAAAUUAAAACUUUGAUGCCAUUUUCAUGAAACAAUUUUUCUCAGUAACUUACUUGUUGAUAUAUCCUUGUGGCAGGCAUGGUUGCUAUGGAAAGAAAACAGGAUUUUGGAGUUAAUGGAUGAGUAUUUGAAUGAUACAUUUGCGGAGUAUGAAGUGAAGAGAUGCAUGCAAGUGGGAUUAUUAUGUGUUCAGAAAUUUGCAGAAGAUAGGCCAAACAUGUCAUCUGUGGUGUCAAUGUUAGGAAAUGAUGGAGUAAUUUUGGCAGAACCUAAAGAGCCUGGGUUUUUUAUGGAGAGAAGUUGCAGUCUUGCGAGAAGUAGUACUUCAGAAGAUAAAACAUUGACCAUUACUGACCUGGAGGGCAGAUGAGGAGCUCCACAUCCAUCGUUUCUCGCUCUAAUUCUAAUCUUUUUCCGACGACGACUGAGGAUUGUAGUUGCGUG